rnacentral:rRNA from 1 species
AUGCAAGUCGAGUGCGCAGUCUUCUGUAGCAAUACAGGAGAUCGGCGCACGGCGCACGGGUGCGUAACACGUGGGUAACCUGCCCUCCAAAGGGGGAUAACCCGCCGAAAGGCGGGCUAAUACCGCAUGACAUUCCGGUGGCUUCGGCCGCCGGAAUCAAAGCCCGCAAGGGCGUUGGAGGAGGGGCCCGCGGCCGAUUAGCUUGUUGGCGAGGUAACGGCUCACCAAGGCUUUGAUCGGUAGCCGGUCUGAGAGGAUGGCCGGCCACACUGGAACUGAGACACGGUCCAGACUCCUACGGGAGGCAGCAGUGGGGAAUCUUGCGCAAUGGGCGAAAGCCUGACGCAGCGACGCCGCGUGGGGGAUGAAGCUUCUCGGAGUGUAAACCCCUUUCGACCCGGACGAAACGCCCGCAAGGGCUUGACGGUACGGGUAUAAGAAGCCCCGGCUAACUACGUGCCAGCAGCCGCGGUAAGACGUAGGGGGCCAGCGUUGCUCGGAAUUACUGGGCGUAAAGGGUUCGUAGGCGGUGUGGUAAGUCGGAAGUGAAAUCUCUGGGCUUAACUCAGAGGCUGCUUUCGAAACUGCCGCGCUAGAGUGCGGGAGAGGCGAGUGGAAUUACAGGUGUAGCGGUGA